UGAAAAAGAUAAUACAACGAGCAAUUUUCUACCAUGUGAUUAUAGCAUUGAUGUCAUAAUGAGCAGGAUGUCUCUUGUGUACUAUGAAGAAUGCUACUUAUAUACUUGAUUUCUUCGAUUUCAGUGGUGGUAUGCUUAUCAUUUCUCCUUAUCAUUUCAGGCUUCGGCAACGACGAGCAUGGCCAAGCUAGACACCAGAAGAGUAUUGCAUACUCAGCUACUCCAAUCGUUUGGGUCUUUGGGGAUGGUGGACUCGAUUGCUGAAUCAAUGGUGCCAUGUCAUGCCCCCUAUAUUACCUUUGCCCAAAUCAAAGUGCAUAUAUUUCCACGAGUUAUAGGGGGCAUGGCUGGGACGGUGAUGGAGGAGCAGUGACGAGCCAAAUGGCCAUGGCGCCGCUCGCUGGAGCACAUCAACAUCUCGUCGCUCGUCAAUAUUACUUAUCCAUGUGAUGACAUGCCCUCGCUCGCUAAUCUGGAGCUUCAACCAUCUCAUGGAGGACGCCGUCUGGUAGAUGUCCUGCGAAGCCCGCUAUGCCACCUCCAGCACUAGGAGAUGAGGCGGCCCAGAGGUCCGGCCUCCUCAUAUCCCUCGUCACCAUCUGCGCACUCGUGGCGGCGCACAUCGCCCACCAGAAGGACUGCAGGCCCGUCGACUUUGUGCGUGGCGUCAUCCUCGUCAAACACAAUGCCCGCAACCUGCUACUGUCGCCGAGAGAGUGUAUGUUUCAUAGUGGUGUGAAAGGGUUGAGCAACGAAUGAGGUUUUUUUAGUCCUAGGAAUUUGAGAAGAUUUGUCCAAAUUGGUGAUGAAAUCCAAGCUGCUCGAUUUCUUCUCGGACAUGGAUGAGCCCCUCAGGUAUGACAGAUCUCUCAGAGGAUCUCUGCCAGCAUGAAAAGUUCAUGUUCCAGUGAGGAGGCUCACCAUCACCUACGUCAUGUUACUUAGGAAUUAUAUACUGAGUUUGAUUGUGUUUCAAGAUAUUGAGUGUCCGUAAGAAUUUGAAACAGGCUACAGAUCAAUUUACUUUGGCCUGUUCAAGGGAACACGUUUAGGAUGUGGCAAGUAACUUAGUUUCUACACUUGUAUGGCGACGAGAGGUCAUGGUGAUUUAUUAUUUUGCAUUCUGCGAGUUUUUUACUAUUUAGCAUAUAUAUGUAGUAUUUUCCAGUAUUAUGGUUAUCUAACCAAGAAGGUUUACAUUGCCUUUCAAGUAGUUGCAUUGUCAUGAUAACUUGUUGUGAG